AUGGCGUUUGAGGCAAAACCGAAAACAAGCAAUAAAAACGGCGAACAGGCGUGCAGAAUCGCUGUCAAGUGUCAACCCACAGCACCGAAAUGCGAAUCAUCCAUUUCCGCGAAAGCGGGCGGGGGACCAUUCGGGGGGAGAGCGACGGGUACCUGCAGAAUGCCGUCGAGGUGGGGCCCGGCGACGACCUCACCGGAGAUGACGACGACGAAGGUGCUCCCCCGGUGGCCCCGGAUGUACGGCCAGGCCUCCCGGAACCACCCGACGAACCUGCCCCCUUCGUCCGCCCCCGCCUCCCCACCACCUAAAGCCCCAUCACCGAAUAACCCUGCUCCACCGCCGCACCGCACGCCCGUUGCACGCCGGCGCCACGACUCAGGGGCGCGCAUCGCGACACUCCCAGGCCGCGGCCGCGUCGACCCCGCCGGCGCCCGGGAGGGCUCGCCGGCGGCGCGCGCGAGGGACGCCGCCGCAGCCAUCGGAGGGGUGCAGGCGAGAUUCAGCGGGGACUGGUACAUGAGGGCGGCGGUCUGCUUUGGCGUGGCGUGGCGCUCAGGCCGUACGCGGCGAGACGAAAUGUAG
rnacentral:rRNA from 1 species